CCUACGGGAGGCAGCAGUGGGGAAUAUUGGACAAUGGGGGAAACCCUGAUCCAGCGACGCCGCGUGAGUGAAGAAGUAUUUCGGUACGUAAAGCUCUAUCAGCAGGAAAGAAAAUGACGGUACUUGACUAAGAAGCCCCGGCUAACUACGUGCCAGCAGCCGCGGUAAUACGUAGGGGGCAAGCGUUAUCCGGAUUUACUGGGUGUAAAGGGAGCGUAGACGGCAGCGCAAGUCUGGAGUGAAAUGCCCGGGCCCAACCCCGGAACGGCUCAGGAAACUGGGAAGCUGGAGUGCAGGAGAGGUAAGUAGAAUUCCAGGUGUAGCGGUGAAAUGCGUAGAGAGCAGGAGGAACACCGGCGGCGAAGGCGGCUUACUGGACUGUAACUGACGUUGAGGCUCGAAGGCGUGGGGAGCAAACAGGAUUAGAUACCCCUGUAGUC
rnacentral:rRNA from 1 species